ACCUCUGGUUAGCUCAGUCGGUAGAGCGCUCCACUGGAAAUGGAGAGGUCCCGGGUUCGAUACCCGGACCAGGCU
rnacentral:tRNA from 1 species